rnacentral:rRNA from 1 species
UACGUAGGGUGCAAGCGUUAAUCGGAAUUACUGGGCGCAAAGCGUGCGCAGGCGGUUGUGCAAGACAGAUGUGAAAUCCCCGGGCUCAACCUGGGAACUGCAUUUGUGACUGCACGGCUAGAGUGUGUCAGAGGGGGGUAGAAUUCCACGUGUAGCAGUGAAAUGCGUAGAUAUGUGGAGGAAUACCGAUGGCGAAGGCAGCCCCCUGGGAUAACACUGACGCUCAUGCACGAAAGCGUGGGGAGCAAACAGG